GACGAACGCUGGCGGCGCGCUUAACACAUGCAAGUCGAGCGAAGCGGCGGACGGGUGAGUAACACGUGAGUAACCUGCCUUUUACACAGGGAUAGCCUCGGGAAACCGGGAUUAAAACCUGAUGGUAAAAGAUGGACUCGCGUCCCAUUAGCGAGUUGGUGAGGUAACGGCCCACCAAGGCAACGAUGGGUAGCCGGGCUGGGAGAGUGAGCGGACACAUUGGAACUGAGAAGCGGUCCAAACUCUACGCGAGGCAGCCAUGGGGAAUAUUGCACAAUGGCGGAAACCCUGAUGCAGCGAGGCCUCGUAAGCGAAGAAGGCCUGCAGGUCGUAAAGCUCGUUUAUAUGGGAAGCGGUACCAUAAGAAAAAGCCCCGGCUAACUACGUGCCAGCAGCCGCGGUAAUAC
rnacentral:rRNA from 1 species